AUAGCAGGCUGCAGAACACAGUGUGAUAAAGUGCUAGCAAAUCUUGUUUGUGUUCAUUCCCUGUCAUUAUGUUUAGGUUCUAAUGGUUUAAGAGCACACAGAAAUUUUUUAAAAAUGGGGCUCAAAUUAGUGGAUGCAGAUGUACCCAGUUUUCUUCACCCAAAGCCAAAGAUGACAUGGACUGUAGAAGAGGUGCAUGAUAUUUUUCUGCAUCUGUCAAAGCAGCAUAAGCUUUAGUAAUAUCUUGCUAUCUAAUGAUGCAUAUUGACUAACCAUGUUGAUGUGACUGAACCAAUAGCUGCAGCAGUUGCCAUCUUCUCCAGGGAAUUUCAGGUACAUUUCUGAAGCUCAGUGUGCCCUGUCUUUUUAUGGUCCAUUUUCCACAAGCAGUAUCAUGAUGCUCAUUUCUCAUUUCAUUUCAGAGGAGCAAUUUCUUGUGAUUUAUUUUCCUUCUCUGAGCAUGGCUGAAGCAGUCAAAUUCCAUUCAAGAUUGAGGAGAAAUGACUUUGCCUCAGUUUCCUGUCUUGUUAAAGAUAUAUGACCAAUGUUUAAAGACUUGGGAGGUUGUGUUUCUUGAAAGACCAGUUCCUUUAAAUUCCUGCGUACAUAUUUAAUUUCUGAGUGCCACGUGUCAGUUAAGUCCUGAAAACAUGGUGAAGACAUAUUAUUUCCACAUGGGUCAGAACCAUCUUUUGCCAGACUAGGAAGGAUCUGAUCUUGUCUCAAAUUGUACUCCUGGUUCCUAGAAAUCCUCUUGCUAGUAGAUAAGGAAUAUGAUGUAACCAUGGAUGUCCCCUGGGUAUUCUGGAUUGAAUGAAAUCCUCCUUGUCUACCAUGAGAGUGCUGGUAAAAUAAAAAUUCCAGAUGGGCUAAUCAUAACACAAACAUUCACUGAGGUUUCAAGCUGGGACAUCUGGGAGAACAACUAUGGAGCAAAAUGCUAAAAGGAAGAGGUGCAUUCACCCUGAGUGGGGCAGCUUUCACCCCAGGGUGGCCGGGGAAGUGCUGUCUUCGUUUGGCCAGCAAUAAUUAAUGGCAGGAAUUCCCAGCCAGCCCACUCUUGGACCUGAAGAGUCUUAGCUAAGGAUAAUCUCCAUCACAAGCAUGAAUCAAGGGUAUGAUUUUCAAUGCCUGGUAGGAAGCCACAGCAAGAAGUUGGUGUCUGAAGUGCCAGUUCACAUCACCUCUUCACCAGUGAAUCCUCUGCUCUCCUGCAUCCAUAGCUGGGAAGGGACAAACACAACAAUUCUCUCAUGACUCUCUUCUGGCACUGGAAAGCCUUCACUGACUUCAGGGGGGGAAAGAAAUUCUUUCUAGCUGGAAGUGGCCCUGUCUACACCACAGAGCAUCCCCUCAAUCCCAAACUUGUUACUCACCAGCCUCCUGCUAUCCAGGGCCUGAGACCUGAGCCAGGAGCUGUCUUUUCUCAUCACAAUUCCUGUGAUUUCAGGGGGCACUGAGACUCCCCUUCUGCCAGUCCUGCUCCUCCUGUUUUGUCCAGCACCACCACCCUGCACCUGCAUCCCCCCCGGACUCAGAGAGGGAUUUUCCAGUCUGGCUGGGGCUGGAUGUGAAGGAGAAGGAUCUUACAGUAUUGUUAAGCAACUUGUGGUUGAAGUCACCAGCUCUGGAGAGUUCUUGACUACUGUAAACGCCAGCGGCUCCUUGUCCCAUAGCCUCUUCCUUCCUUCACGCCCCGCUCUGCCAAGUCAGCCACCUGAGACUCUGCUUACUGCUCUUGUUUUCCCUGGCUCUUCUCACUUGUUUACUUAAAAACUCUUUCCCUCCCCUCCCCUUCAUUUGAAUUUCUUGCAGGAGGGUCUUGUAAGGACACUUGCUUUAAUCAGAAUUUCCUGUGAAUUAAUAAGCAGAUUUUUUCGGAGUUUUACAAGUUUUGAAAUAAAAAUAUGAUAGUUUCUUCAUUGCCCCUUCCCCAAACUCUGCUUUCAACAAACCCUUUUCUUACGGAAAGCUGUGGUUUUAAAGGCCCAGUUUAAAAGGCAGAGGAGGAGGAGGAGGAGGAGGAGGAGGAGGAGGGGUACUUUGGAUGCAGCAGGACAGCCUGUCACCCAAGGGAAAGCAGCCGACACGCUGCUGAGGCUGGCUGCAUAUUUUUGUUUCAAAAAGCACUCCAGACUCAAACCACCUGUGAGUGAGUCUGGCUGGCUGAUUUAGUAGGGCCUAGUGCAGGGUGUCCUGUCAAAAGCCACACUUAUUUUCACAGAGGCAAAUGAAUCAGGUUUUAUGUGGCAGGGCGACAGCUCGCUGGGACAGGCUCGUUACAGCUCUGUAGAACAAACUGAGUGAGAGGUGCAACAUUUCCUUAUCCAAACCCAGGGAAUAGAGACAGGCCUCCUAUGGAAAAGUGAGUCACAUUCCCUGUGGUACAUUCUGUUCAUUCUGUUAGAAUAAACAUGAGUGUUUGUUUGCUGAGUCCAUCAGCAUCCAGACCUAAACUUGAUCAGGAGGACUCGCACUCGGCUCGCGUGCGCCCUGCUGUUUGCUCGCUCCGUUGUAUAACAGCACCACUCGUGUCAGCCUGCCAUUCCAAGAGGAAAUAACAGCACUUCCCUCAUUUCUUUCAAAUCCAUCCUAAAUUUCUAUAAAAGACAUCAAAGCAAUUACCCUGAUACUUCCCGUGCUUUCCAGAUGACUCAUCCUUUAAAGAAGCUGCUGGAAAACAAGGCGCGACCAAGGUUCCUUCAUUCCAGGCUUUGAGACUUUUAAGAAUCUCAUGGAAAGCAGUCAAAAUAAGAAGCCACAAACCCACCUUCUCAUAAAACCCUUCUCCAUGUUUUAUGUAUUUCUCUGCUACCAGUUGGAGCUGGUUUUCCAAGCACCACUGCCAGGAGAUAAAGCAAGUUGCUAGCCCAGGUCCAUGACUGCAGAAGGUGAAUUAGCUGGCCAAGUGUGUUCAUUGCUACUGCUGUUGGAAGAUGACUUCUAAAUAGGAUGAUGCUUGGCUGCAUCUAGAACUAGUAGUGAAAUAAAGGAUUGUCUGCUGGAAACAAGGGGACUUCUGGGGAGGAAGUUUCUAUGAGCAUGAGUAGCAUUUUGGAAAUCUGACUCUUGCCCUUGUUAUAAGAACAUGCAAGGUCUCCAAAAUUUUCAAUGCUCACUGCAUUUCUAAGAGCUGUAGAUGGGGCAGGAGGGAUUGCUUCUGACUUCAGUGGGAAGAGAGUUGGAGAUUGGCCAUGGGUUAGAAAUUUGUUGGGCUAUAGCUUGAAGCAUUUUAGCUAUUUCCAUAGAAUCACUUGCUAAUUGCAAUUGCUUGUCUGAUGCAGUGCUCCAGGAAGUGAGUUACUGUCCUGCAAAGUCUGAAAGGAAGGGCUCUGGACAAUAAGCAUCCCCUGCCAGCUCUGAUAGGCAGGCAUUCCCAGCUUCUGGGCUGCAUGGAGGUGCCCUUAAGACUGCUCAUUAUGCUGACUUUCUUCUUCCACCUUUAUCCACAUGUGGAAGGAGCAGUGGCAAUGCCAUUGCAGACUCUCUCAUGCAACAGGACCACGCACCAAAAAGCCUUGGGGUACCAAAUGGCAUAAGACUAAAAAUGGCUACUUCACUCCCCAACCUGAGCUUACCAGGGGCACUCAUGUUGGAAAUAAAAACUCUUUUGCCUUUUUGCUCUGGCAAAUAUCUGGUAUUACUUUUUGGGGUGUUUUCUGCCCUGAUACUAUUUUUUUUUAAAAUUCUCUUCAAGUUAUUCAACCACUGAAGUCCAUUCACCCUUUCCAGUCCUAUAUUACAGAUAUUUUUAGCAGCUGAGGAAAACUCUGUAUUACCCCUCCUCAAAGUCUCCUCAUGCCAUUGUUGAGGUGGAAAGUGCUUCAGAGCCAUGUAAGAUGCUCUCAGCAUGCACAAGCCAGCUCCAGGAGCCAGUUCAGCUCCAGGUUCCCAUAGGAAACCCAGAAAGGUCUCCCAUCCCACAGGCAAGCAGCAUCCAAAGGCUCUCCUCAUCCACUGCAGUGUCCCAGCUUCUCUCCAUGGGUCAUGCAUCACAGGAGGGCUUCUCUUGACCAUAAGUGAGAUGUUUAAUAAACCUGAGAUUUUCAAUCCUUAGACACUCACAGCUGUUCACAAAAAACAUAAAAUACACGGUCAAGCACAAGCAGCUACACCCUGAGAGAAAAAAUACAUAGCACUGUAGCAUUUGAGCAUGGCCAGGAUGUCCCUGUGAGUUCUCUGGCAGGAAUGAAUGGUUGGCAUCGUAUUUUUCUAGGCACAAGAGGUUUAUCCAGUAAUAGAUCCUGUUGAAUCUACAGCAAUCUGACUCUUGUACCAUCCUCUGCAUGUCCAUGCCUGUGCUGCAGGUGUAAACACAAUAUUUAAGAAGUGAGGAAAGACUUAGAGGUCUUUGCAGCCUAAACUAUUCUGUGAUUCUGAGAUCAUUGAGUUGAACUGACUUGAUUUCUGCUUUUUAUCCCUAUCAGUGACUGUCUUACUUCCGUUGUGGAAAUUGUCACCCUGUGACCACAUUGCUGAAAGGAUUAUUUUAGAUUCUUUUUUAACCUGCUGGUUAUGGUUUUUAAACCUAAUUUUUUAAUAUUUUGUGUGUGUGUGUGAUUAGACAAAAGCAGGGGCUGUUGGUAGCUGCAGGUCCUGGUCUUUGCUAUGCUGGUUCCUGGUGAGACAUGGAUGCAAGGAGCUGUUUGGUAUGUGCUGCUGCAAGAAAUACAUGUGCAAGCAUGAUGAGGUAUCUGUGGGUGCAGGAGCAUCUCUCAGGGAACUCAGAUGUUUUAUUUGCCAUUUCCCAUAUCAUCCCACUGAAGCAGCUUUCAGUUGCUUUCUACCUCAGCUUGUUUAUCUGUAAAAUGGAAAUGGGGAACUUCCUAGAGAACCCAGAGCCAUAUUUCUAAUUACUCAUAGCUUUUGCAUACCCUUGAGGCGAGUAUAAGCUGUAAAUCUCUGAAGCUGCAUACCAACAUUUCUGUGGUUUGAGCAUCAGGGGAGCCCCUUUUCCACAGACACUGCUGUACUCUCCAGGCUGUGUGUUUUCCACGGCAAGCCUGUGUUCAGCCCUUGGCAUGCAGACCAGGCAGGGACAUCUGACCCCUUUCUGUGUGCAGAGCCAGUGUUUUCCUGCAGAGCCUGUCCUGCUGGGGGCUGAGCUGGGAAGGUGCCUGUGGUGUGUGCUGUGCAUUUGGGGUGCCAAAAGAGGGAUGUGGCACAGCUGGGCUCCACAGUCCGUGGGGGCACGGGGCAGUGACCCCCUCCCAGCACCAGCACAGCCCUUCCCCAAGCCCCAGCCACACUCUGCAGCCAGGGCCAAGCCCUGCUGGGGCUGUGGGCACACACAAACAGGUUGGAAGUUGCUCAGGUCACCCUGUGCCUGUUGGUAAGCAGCCCUGUGCUUUACCAUCAGCUCCCUGGAGGCUGUGACAUCUGAGCUCUCACUGGCUGCCCCAGCGCAGGGAGGUCAAACAAAUUGAGUUUCUCUCCAGAGGAGCUGCCUAUGGCUCUGAUCCCUGCCCGCUGGAGAGCUCAGCUCUCAGGGUGUUUCAGCUGGAAGCAUGCACGCCAUGCCCGGCACACAGCGCUGCUCAGCUGGAGACACAGCAUCUGUCCAGAGGGAUCCCAGCUCCCCUGGGCCUCCCUCUCACAGAAGUUAAUUCCUUCCUAUUGUCUUUGUAAGUUCUAACAGAACAGGGAGCUGCAGUGAGGAGAGGGGAUAUGUUCAAUUUGAGCGGCCAGAUUACGACGUUCCGAAUAAAGCCGUAUUUAUUAAUAAUUACCUCUCUGCCAUGACUUUAAAUUCAAACAGCUGGACAGCCUCUGCUCUUUAUUAAUUUCCUUGGAUCCUUGGCACGAAGCCCUCAAUUCCUGUGAUGUAAUGGUAUAAAAAGUUGGCUCCUGACCGAGCUUCCACCCACAAGUUCUAAAUUUGGAGCACGGUGAAUUUCUGCAGAUUCCAGAGACGGGCUAUGCUCAAGACGUGCUGCUGCCUUCAGUCCCAUCCUAUUGCACCAAACAACAAGGUUGUGUGCUUUUUAUAACGGGGAUCAGAAAUAUGACUCAGAUGCACAUGUUGUCUAUGUAAGCACUUGGGGUUGGCUAUCACUUUAUGGCACUGGGAAGAAGCCAAGCCAAAUAAAAAUUGUUUUGAGUAAAUAUUA